rnacentral:rRNA from 1 species
UACAGAGGUCUCAACCGUUGUUCGGAUUCAUUGGGCGUAAAGGGUGCGUAGGCGGUCGCGAAAGUCGGAUGUGAAAUCUCAGGGCUCAACCCUGAAACUGCAUUCGAUACUGCGUGGCUAGAGUGCUGGAGAGGAGACUGGAAUUUACGGUGUAGCAGUGAAAUGCGUAGAUAUCGUAAGGAAGACCAGUGGCGAAGGCGAGUCUCUGGACAGCAACUGACGCUGAGGCACGAAGGCCAGGGGAGCAAACGGG